UACGUAGGUGGCGAGCGUUGUCCGGAUUUACUGGGCGUAAAGCGUGCGCAGGCGGUGAUGUAAGACAGUUGUGAAAUCCCCGGGCUCAACCUGGGAACUGCAUCUGUGACUGCAUCGCUGGAGUGCGGCAGAGGGGGAUGGAAUUCCGCGUGUAGCAGUGAAAUGCGUAGAUAUGCGGAGGAACACCGAUGGCGAAGGCAAUCCCCUGGGCCUGCACUGACGCUCAUGCACGAAAGCGUGGGGAGCAAACAGG
rnacentral:rRNA from 1 species